rnacentral:rRNA from 1 species
AUGGAGAGGGUGGUGAUGAGGCUGGUGAGGAACAAGCAGUCCCUCCGCCAGCUGCAAGGGGCCGCCGCCGGCGGCCUAGCGUCGUCGUCCUCCGCCUCCUCGACCGCCGGCGCCGCCGCGUCCUCCUUCUCCACCCUGCAGCAGCAGCAGGAGGACCACCCCGGAGUGCUCAACAUCAGGGACACCGCCGCCCACCUCAUCGGCCGGACGCCGCUGGUGUACCUGAACAAGGUGACGGAGGGGUGCGGCGCCCGCGUCGCCGCCAAGCUCGAGUUCCUCCAGCCUUCCUUCAGCGUCAAGGACAGGCCAGCAAUCUCCAUGAUCGAAGACGCGGAGAAGAAGGGGCUGAUAACCCCAGGCAAGACGACGCUGAUCGAGCCCACAUCCGGGAACAUGGGCAUCGGCCUGGCGUUCAUGGCAGCACUCAAAGGGUACGAGCUCGUGCUGACGAUGCCAUCAUACACCAGCCUCGAGAGGAGGGUGGUCAUGAAGGCCUUCGGUGCGCAGCUCGUGCUCACUGACCCGGCCAAGGGGAUGGGAGGCACCGUCAGGAAAGCAACCCAGCUCUAUGAGAACCAUCCCAGCGCCUUCAUGCUCCAGCAGUUCGAGAAUCCCGCCAACGUCCAGGUGCACUACGAGACUACCGGUCCGGAGAUAUGGGAGGACACGCUCGGGCAGGUCGACAUCUUCGUCAUGGGAAUCGGCAGCGGCGGCACCGUCACCGGCGUCGGCAAGUACCUCAAGGAGAAGAACCCCAACGCAAAGAUCUAUGGAGUUGAACCUGCCGAAGCAAAUGUCCUGAACGGUGGCAAGCCAGGGCCUCACCUCAUCACUGGAAAUGGAGUUGGAUUUAAGCCAGAUAUUUUGGAUAUGGAUAUAAUGGAGAAGGUUCUAGAGGUGAAAAGCGAGGACGCCGUUACGAUGGCGCAACAGUUGGCACUGCAGGAGGGCCUGCUGGUGGGGAUAUCAUCAGGAGCCAACACAGUGGCUGCGAUCGAACUCGCAAAGAGGCCAGAAAACAAAGGGAAGCUCAUCGUGACUGUUCAUCCGAGCGCGGGAGAGCGAUACUUAUCGUCGGCGCUAUUCGAGGGUCUGAGGAAGGAGGCUGAGGCAAUGCAGCCAGUGCCAGUGGACUAA